UUUUUUUGUUUUGGACUCCACAAGAAUUUGUCGAUAUUUCCGAUUAAAUCUUCUUGUUAGUAGAUUUUCUAUAGGAAAAAUUAUCGGAAUAAUUUGUUAUUCCUUUCCUCUACAGAGAAACCUUUCUUCCAAGGCACACCAUAAGAGCCAUUUAUUAUUUUUCUUUGAUUCUAGAUCAAAGAUUAAUUUCAUCUAUAUUAUAUAUUAAUUAUAUUAAGUAGAUUGUAGAUUGAUUUCGAUGUAUAUCUAUCAGAUCAUGGCUUCAUGUACCAAAUAUUUCAAUAUCGUUGCAUCCGGUAUUUUUGUUUUGUUCCACCAGAUGAAGAAUAGAUCCGAGAAAGAGACUUUCAUUUCCAGUCUCCUAUUUAUUUAUUUAUUGAAUUUUAGAUUUUCUAAAAGGAAAAAUAGUAGAUUAUCUCUUUCUCUAACAGAUAAAAGAAUCUAAAAAUCAAUAUUCGAUCGAACUAUCUUUUUUCCUUCGAUCCGUGGAAAGAUAUACUCUGGGGUUUUCGAUUUAUUUAUAUGAAGUAUGAAGGAAAGGGACCGUUUGGUCCUUGAAGAGUUCUUUCAAAACAAGGGAUUGAUUGAAUUAUCUUAUUAAGACAAUUCAUGGUUCAUAUGCUUAGUUAGAAGGAAUAAUCCAAUGGAGUUCAUGGAUUUACCUAGGUCAGUUUAUGGGCUAAUCAAUAAAGGAUUUUUAUCUUCGAAACCCAUUGGGAAGGGCAGUGCAAGAGAAAUCAGACAAAAAUGAUCGGAUCUUGGGACUCCCCGAAAAAGAUAUGAGGUGCUCGGAAAUGGUCAAAGUAGUUGAAUAGGAGGAUCACUAUGACUAUAGCCAUUGGUAAGGUUUCCAAAGACGAAAAUGAUUUAUUUGAUAUUAUGGAUGACUGGUUACGGAGGGACCGUUUCGUUUUUGUAGGCUGGUCCGGUCUAUUGCUCUUUCCUUGUGCCUAUUUCGCUGUAGGGGGUUGGUUCACAGGUACAACCUCUGUAACUUCAUGGUAUACCCAUGGAUUGGCUAGUUCUUAUUUAGAAGGCUGCAAUUUCUUAACUGCCGCGGUUUCUACUCCUGCUAAUAGUUUAGCACAUUCGUUGUUGUUUACUAUGGGGUCCUGAAGCACAAGGAGAUUUUACUCGUUGGUGUCAAUUGGGGGUCUAUGGACUUUUGUUGCUCUCCAUGGAGCUUUUGGCCUAAUAGGUUUCAUGUUAUGUCAAUUCGAGCUUGCUCGAUCUGUUCAAUUGAGACCUUAUAAUGCAAUCGCAUUCUCUGGUCCAAUUGCUGUUUUUGUUUCUGUAUUUCUGAUUUAUCCACUAGGUCAGUCUGGUUGGUUCUUUGCACCUAGUUUUGGUGUAGCAGCUAUAUUUCGAUUCAUCCUAUUUUUUCAAGGGUUUCAUAAUUGGACCUUGAACCCCUUUCAUAUGAUGGGAGUUGCCGGUGUAUUGGGCGCUGCUUUGCUAUGCGCCAUUCAUGGUGCUACAGUAGAAAAUACUUUAUUUGAAGACGGUGAUGGUGCAAAUACAUUCCGUGCUUUUAACCCAACUCAAGCCGAAGAAACUUAUUCAAUGGUCACCGCUAACCGCUUUUGGUCCCAAAUCUUUGGGGUUACUUUUUCCAAUAAACGUUGGUUACAUUUCUUUAUGGUAUUUGUACCAGUAACCGGUUUAUGGAUGAGUGCUCUUGGAGUAGUCGGUCUAGCUCUGAACCUACGUGCCUAUGACUUCGUUUCUUAGGAAAUUCGCGCAGCGGAAGAUCCUGAAUUUGAGACUUUCUACACCAAAAAUAUCCUCUUAAACAAAGGUAUUCGCGCUUGGAUGGCGGCUAAAGAUCAGCCUCAUGAAAACCUUAUAUUCCCUGAGGAGGUUCUACCACGUGGAAACGCUCUUUAAUGGAACUUUAGCCUUAGCUGGUCGUGACCAAGAAACCACAAGUUUCGCUUGGUGGGCCGGGAAUGCCCGACUUAUCAAUCUAUCCGGUAAACUACUAGGGGCUCAUGUAGCCCAUGCUGGAUUAAUCGUAUUCUGGGCCGGAGCAAUGAACCUAUUUGAAGUGGCCCAUUUCGUACCCGAGAAGCCUAUGUAUGAACAAGGAUUGAUUUUACUUCCCCACCUAGCUACUCUAGGUUGGGGGGUAGGUCCUGGGGGAGAAGUUAUAGACACCUUUCCAUACUUUGUAUCUGGAGUACUUCAUUUAAUUUCUUCUGCAGUAUUGGGCUUUGGCGGCAUUUAUCAUGCACUUCUGGGACCUGAGACACUUGAAGAAUCUUUUCCCUUCUUUGGUUAUGUCUGGAAAGAUUGAAAUAAAAUGACCACAAUUUUAGGUAUUCACUUAAUCUUGUUAGGUCUAGGUGCUUUUCUUCUAGUAUUCAAGGCUCUUUAUUUUGGGGACGUAUAUGAUACCUGGGCUCCGGGAGGGGGAGAUGUAAGAAAAAUUACCAACUUGACCCUUAGCCCGAGUAUCAUAUUUCGUUAUUUACUAAAAUCCCCUUUUGGAGGAGAAGGG